rnacentral:rRNA from 1 species
GUGCCAGCCGCCGCGGUACUACCGGCAGCUCAAGUGAUGGCCGAUCUUAUUGGGCCUAAAGCGUCCGUAGCUGGCCUCGCAAGUCCGUCGGGAAAUCCAGUAGCUCAACUACUGGGCGUCCGGCGGAAACUACAAGGCUUGGGACCGAAAGGCUCGAGGGGUAGGUCCGGGGUAGGAGUGAAAUCCCGUAAUCCCGAACGGACCACCGAUGGCGAAAGCACCUCGAGAAGACGGCUCCGACAGUGAGGGACGAAAGCUAGGGUCUCGAACCGGAUUAGAUACCCUUGUAGUCC